rnacentral:tRNA from 1 species
GCGAACGUAGCUCAGUUGGUUAGAGCGCCUGACUGUGACUCAGGAGGUCGGGGGUUCGAGACCCCUCGUUCGCCCCA